rnacentral:lncRNA from 1 species
UGACAUUUCAGUGAAAUAUCAGUUUCCUUCCAGACACUAUUAAGUUCCAAGCAGAGGAAGUACAGAGAAAUACAACCAGCUGGCUUCUGUGAGAAGAAGUGGCUGUGCCUAACUUUGGUUACCUCUCUGUAUUCAGAGGGCAAUCAUAGCUCCUCUCUGCUUUCAUCUUAGAGACAAACUGUUCUUUCAUUCUUCUCCUGCAAGACAGUUCAAUUCUCCUGCUCGUCCCAGUAAUGCACCUCUCCAUAUCUGUUUCUAUCCAAUUUCAACUUCCUGGAGCACAAUUGACCAGACUCACUGGUUUUUUGUCCCAUGUGAAGUUCAUUAAAUAGAUUGGCCUGAAACUUCUUUUACAGAUCUACAAAAGCUUGAAGAUCAGUCAGAAAAAGAAACUCUGACUUCCCUGAGACAGUCAGACAGACAAACAGUGGAACAAAAAAUGCCAGUGAAGUGAGUUGCUGUUUAUGGCUAUUUUUAAUGGUAGGAGAUUUAUGUGACGGGAUGACCAAGUUUGAAUAAUCUGCAC